ACGUAAAAUCGCCCGGUUGGUGCUCGCGGCGUGGUUCACAUGCCGCAGUUCAACGGGAAGCAGGGAGGGACCCUUCGCCACGAAGCACGUCCCGAGCCUGCGCUGCCCCCGCAACGGUCAGCGGAUGAGUCGCAUGCCGGCUCCACUUUCAUGCACACGCCACUGGGCGCCUUGAACAAGCGCCUGGGAAGGCUUUGGAAGCUGUUCCGCCAGCCCGGAUACCGGCCAACAUGGUGGCCGUGCG
rnacentral:ncRNA from 2 species